ensembl:lncRNA
AUGUACACAUGUUACAUUUGCAAGGUACACCACACCAGUUGUUCAAUGUUAUUUAGACAUUUGAAGUUUGAGCAUGGAUUGUAUCCCGGAAGGUCUCUGCGCUUGAACUGUGGAGAGCCUGGUUGUUCAUUUGUUUUUUGUACAUAUUCUGGUUACCAACGUCACCUAUCUCGAGCACAUAAAGACUAUCUUGAUCCAGAUCCCGUCAGCAGUUUUGAAUUUGAGCCUGUAGCUGGACCUUCCACACCAGUGAAUGUGGAUCCUCCUGUGAGGGUCACUACACAUGUUCCAGUUGAAAAGAAGAAUAUACUGGACAUGUGCAGCUCUGUUAUUGCUCAGGUUCAAGCCUCAGGUGUUCCAGAGAGUACUGUGCAGUGUCUAGUUGGCUCAAUGGAGGAACUGGUUAGUGGCAUCCAUGCUCACACAAAGGAAGCUGUUGUUAAUUGUUUGUCUUCUGAUGCAUCUAGAGAAACUUUGGAGAGAGUUGAGAGUUGUUUUGAUCAACUAGAAAACCCAUUUUCGUGUCUUAACACAGAAUCUAAAAGGAUGAGGCAUUUUGAAAAGAAAUGGAAUAUAGUAGAACCUGUAGAGCAUGUUCUGGGGGUCCGUUUUGAUGUAAGAAGAGAUAGAAUAACAGGCACAUAUAGGCAAGUUCCGGUCAAUGAUAAGUUCAUGUAUGUACCUAUCCGGGGGUCUCUCACAUCUAUGUUUAGUAACGGUGAACUCUGUAACAGUUUCCAAGAAGUAAAACCACACCAAGAGGGAUUUUACAGAGAUAUAAGUGAUGGGUCCUACUUUAAGAAUCAUAGUUUAUUUUCUCAGCAAGAACCCGCUCUUCAGAUCCAGCUCUACUAUGACGAUUUUGAAACUGCCAAUCCAUUGGGCUCAAAAAAGGGGGUGCACAAACUGGGAUGUGUUUAUUUUGUUUUGAGAAAUUUAUCACCAAAGCUCAAUUCUGUGUUAAUGAAUAUUCAUCUUGUCGCUCUCUUUCACUCAGAGGAUCUUAAGAAAUAUGGGUUUGAGCCGAUUCUGAAGCCACUUAUUGAUGAUCUUAAGAUUUUGGAGACUGAAGGAAUACAGUUGCCUUUUUCAGCUACACCUGUGAAGGGUUCAGUCAUUCAGGUUACAGGAGACAAUUUAGCUCUACAUGCACUUUUUGGUUUUGUUGAAUCAUUCAGUGCGACGUACUGCUGUAGGUUAUGUUUAACUGAUAGAAGUGAAUAUCAGUCAGUUUUCAGUGAAGAUCACCCAGGUUUAACUCUACGUUCAAAAGACCUUCAUGUUGAGCAUGUUCGUGUCAUCCAGGAAAAUCCUGCUUUGAAAUCAACAUUUGGUGUCAAACGAGACUGUCCACUCAAUUCCCUCCAGUUUUUCCAUUCAUCAAACAAUUACGCUGUAGACAUAAUGCAUGACCUGCUAGAAGGAGUGGUCCAAUAUGAGUUAAAGCUUGUGUUUCAGUAUUUGAUCAAGAAUUCAAUAUCCCUGUGUUCAUUGUCUGAAAGAAUUGUUAGCUUUAAUUAUGGAUACACACAGGGAACGAACAGGCCAGGUGGGCUUAAGCUGGAUGACAACAGCAAAGAUCUUGGACUUAAUGCUAUCCAGUCUUGGUGCCUCCUACGCAAUGCCCCGCUGAUAUUUGGAGAUUUAGUUGAAAGAGCAGAUACCUGUUGGCAAUUGUUACUCCUUUUAAUUCAAAUCGUAAACAUAGUGUUUUCACCAAUUGUAACUCAUGGUAUGACUUAUUUGAAACAUUUAAUUUUUGAACAUCACAAACUUUUUAAAUCCAUCUUCCCAGAGCACAAUCUCAUUCCAAAACAUCACCAUAUGAUCCACUACCCGAGCUGUAUUAGAAGAAUUGGACCACUCAUACACAUUUGGUGCAUGCGAUUUGAAGGAAAACAUAAUUUCUUCAAGAAAUCUGUUAAAAACUUCAAAAAUAUUGCAAAGACUCUGGUUAAGAAACAUCAGGCUCAGUUAGCAUUUCAUUUUGAGAACUUUUAUUUCCAAAGAUUACAGUUUGGUCCGAUCUCCGAAGUCCUGGUCAGCAGUAUAGAGGGUGGAGAGGUGCUGAAUGAAGCUUUUGAUGUGUUGUCAGUUUCCACCACUUCCUGGGUCAAAAACUAUGGCACCGAGUAUCAAGUUGGGAUGUAUGUGGUUACUGGAGUUGAAAAUGAGAUGCCUUUGUUCAACAGGAUUGACAGUAUAAUUGUUAAAGACAACAAUGCCUAUCUUUUGAUUUGUAAAGUCUCAAAUAAUUUUUUUGAUGAUCAUUUAAAUGCAUUUGGUAUUGAGGAGAAAAAUGAGGUUUUCACAGUGAUCUGUGUAAAUGACCUGGUAUAUUACAGACCUUGUGAUAGGCAAUUUUCAUAUGACACCGAUGACCAAGUGUACCUUGUUCCAUACUGUAAUUAUAUGUGA